GUAGGUAUAGUUUAAAAAGAACAUUAGAUUGUGAUUCUAAAAAUAAAGGUUCGAGUCCUUUUAUCCACC
rnacentral:tRNA from 1 species